AUCCUAGAGAGAACCAUAGGCCCGGUAGGACACCAAGAUCCCAGAAGUGGACAAUCCAUCCAUUACCAGAGGACCUUGGGCCACAAGAACAGAAGAGAAACCAGGAAGGGAGCUAGAAGAAAACCUGGCUUAUUGGUCACAUACUAGUUGAUCUUGGACUGUGAUGUCUAAUUAAAGAUUCAUAAUGUUGGCCGGGCGCGGUGGCUUACGCUUGUAAUCCCAGCACUUUGGAAGGCCGAGAAGGGCGGAUCACGAGGUCAGGAGAUCGAGAUCAUCCUGGCUAACACAGUGAAACCCCGUCUCUACUAAAAAUACAAAAAAUUAGCCGGGCGUGGUGGUGGGUGCCUGUAGUCCCAGCUACUCAGGAGGCUGAGGCAGGAGAAUGGCAUGAACCCGGGAGGCGGAGCUGGCACUGAGCCAAGAUUGCGC
rnacentral:lncRNA from 1 species